AGCAGUAGGGAAUCUUCCGCAAUGGGCGAAAGCCUGACGGAGCAACGCCGCGUGAGUGAUGAAGGUCUUCGGAUCGUAAAACUCUGUUAUUAGGGAAGAACAAAUGUGUAAGUAACUAUGCACGUCUUGACGGUACCUAAUCAGAAAGCCACGGCUAACUACGUGCCAGCAGCCGCGGUAAUACGUAGGUGGCAAGCGUUAUCCGGAAUUAUUGGGCGUAAAGCGCGCGUAGGCGGUUUUUUAAGUCUGAUGUGAAAGCCCACGGCUCAACCGUGGAGGGUCAUUGGAAACUGGAAAACUUGAGUGCAGAAGAGGAAAGUGGAAUUCCAUGUGUAGCGGUGAAAUGCGCAGAGAUAUGGAGGAACACCAGUGGCGAAGGCGACUUUCUGGUCUGUAACUGACGCUGAUG
rnacentral:rRNA from 1 species